AGAAUGACUCUCGGCAACGGAUAUCUAGGCUCUUGCAUCGAUGAAGAACGUAGCGAAAUGCGAUACUUGGUGUGAAUUGCAGAAUCCCGUGAACCAUCGAGUCUUUGAACGCAAGUUGCGCCCAAAGCCAUCAGGUUGAGGGCACGUCUGCCUGGGCGUCACAU
rnacentral:rRNA from 12 species